AAAGAGUGUAGUUUUGCGUUGCUCACGCCCAAUGUUUAACUGUUCUUUUAUUUGAAUUUUUUCAUGAUCAGUAUUUUUAUUGUUAUUAGAUGAUAAAACAUAAAUAAUACCUUAUGUGUGACUAUUUUUAUUUAAUUUUUUCCUAAUUUUUCAAAUAAGACGGACGAUCAAACGUUGGACACAGAUAUCCACAGCUGCACAUAAG
rfam:Oryza punctata chromosome 3, whole genome shotgun sequence.